GUAUCCUUGAAGAUCUCUUGGACCCUGGUUCUUUUUUUCUAUUCAUAUUACAGGGAGAGUUUAACUAAUUUCAGAAGACGAUGCUUCACGUACAUGUUUUAUUUCAAAUAGUUCUUGAGUCUCCUGAAAAUCUUCAGCAGUUGCAGAGUUUCUGGUCUACUUCCUAGUCUAUGAUCCACUUUGAAUCAACAUUUGUACAGGUGAAAAUUUUGUUCCCAGGUGAGGAUUUGGCUUGGAGGGGGAAGAAAGUAAAGAAGGAGUAAUAACUGGAACAAAACAAAGGUAAGAACAAACAAACAAAAAAAUCAAAUCAAAACAAACCCACAAAAUUUUUUCUCUAUCCAAAGUCAAAGUCAAAACAAAGUUGAAUAACAAAUGGGUGAAGAAAAAUUAUUAAAAUGAAAGACAAUUAAUAUCAAUGUGUAUAUGCUUUGGAAGCAAUCACUACAGCAAACAUACACACACACCCCACAAAAAAAUGGAAAAAUUUAAAAAAAUUUAAAAGUCUUAAUGAAAAAUGAAGAGCUUGUUUCCACUGAAGUGGUCAAAACUGUCGAUAAUGAUGUGUGUUCACUGCCUCUGCUGUUGUAACCUUCUUUGUGUUUGCACUAUGUACUCCUUGCAUCAAGAGCUGUGGAUUGUUAAACCUGAACUCUUUAUGUUUUUUUUCUUUUCAAAGCUUCCAACUGGUGUGGUCAGAAACCAAAGCUGGUUGUAGUAGCUCUCAGCUUUCCAUCUCACUGUAGAGUAGGUAAGACUGGGGAAUAUUGACAAUUGAAGUUUUUUCUGAAUAGGCUAG